rnacentral:tRNA from 1 species
GACCGCGUAGUUCAGUUGGCAGAGCAUUGGACUAGUAUUCCAAAGGUCGUAGGUUCGAUUCCCACCGUGGCCA